GGGUUGUGAGGUUAAGCGACUAAGCGUACACGGUGGAUGCCCUGGCAGUCAGAGGCGAUGAAGGACGUGCUAAUCUGCGAUAAGCGUCGGUAAGGUGAUAUGAACCGUUAUAACCGGCGAUUUCCGAAUGGGGAAACCCAGUGUGUUUCGACACACUAUCAUUAACUGAAUCCAUAGGUUAAUGAGGCGAACCGGGGGAACUGAAACAUCUAAGUACCCCGAGGAAAAGAAAUCAACCGAGAUUCCCCCAGUAGCGGCGAGCGAACGGGGAGGAGCCCAGAGCCUGAAUCAGUGUGUGUGUUAGUGGAAGCGUCUGGAAAGGCGCGCGAUACAGGGUGACAGCCCCGUACACAAAAAUGCACAUGCUGUGAGCUCGAUGAGUAGGGCGGGACACGUGGUAUCCUGUCUGAAUAUGGGGGACCAUCCUCCAAGGCUAAAUACUCCUGACUGACCGAUAGUGAACCAGUACCGUGAGGGAAAGGCGAAAAGAACCCCGGCGAGGGGAGUGAAAAAGAACCUGAAACCGUGUACGUACAAGCAGUGGGAGCACAGAGCAAUCUGUGUGACUGCGUACCUUUUGUAUAAUGGGUCAGCGACUUAUAUUCUGUAGCAAGGUUAACCGAAUAGGGGAGCCGAAGGGAAACCGAGUCUUAACCGGGCGUUAAGUUGCAGGGUAUAGACCCGAAACCCGGUGAUCUAGCCAUGGGCAGGUUGAAGGUUGGGUAACACUAACUGGAGGACCGAACCGACUAAUGUUGAAAAAUUAGCGGAUGACUUGUGGCUGGGGGUGAAAGGCCAAUCAAACCGGGAGAUAGCUGGUUCUCCCCGAAAGCUAUUUAGGUAGCGCCUCGUGAAUUCAUCUCCGGGGGUAGAGCACUGUUUCGGCAAGGGGGUCAUCCCGACUUACCAACCCGAUGCAAACUGCGAAUACCGGAGAAUGUUAUCACGGGAGACACACGGCGGGUGCUAACGUCCGUCGUGAAGAGGGAAACAACCCAGACCGCCAGCUAAGGUCCCAAAGUCAUGGUUAAGUGGGAAACGAUGUGGGAAGGCCCAGACAGCCAGGAUGUUGGCUUAGAAGCAGCCAUCAUUUAAAGAAAGCGUAAUAGCUCACUGGUCGAGUCGGCCUGCGCGGAAGAUGUAACGGGGCUAAACCAUGCACCGAAGCUGCGGCAGCGACACUGUGUGUUGUUGGGUAGGGGAGCGUUCUGUAAGCCUGUGAAGGUGUGCUGUGAGGCAUGCUGGAGGUAUCAGAAGUGCGAAUGCUGACAUAAGUAACGAUAAAGCGGGUGAAAAGCCCGCUCGCCGGAAGACCAAGGGUUCCUGUCCAACGUUAAUCGGGGCAGGGUGAGUCGACCCCUAAGGCGAGGCCGAAAGGCGUAGUCGAUGGGAAACAGGUUAAUAUUCCUGUACUUGGUGUUACUGCGAAGGGGGGACGGAGAAGGCUAUGUUGGCCGGGCGACGGUUGUCCCGGUUUAAGCGUGUAGGCUGGUUUUCCAGGCAAAUCCGGAAAAUCAAGGCUGAGGCGUGAUGACGAGGCACUACGGUGCUGAAGCAACAAAUGCCCUGCUUCCAGGAAAAGCCUCUAAGCAUCAGGUAACAUCAAAUCGUACCCCAAACCGACACAGGUGGUCAGGUAGAGAAUACCAAGGCGCUUGAGAGAACUCGGGUGAAGGAACUAGGCAAAAUGGUGCCGUAACUUCGGGAGAAGGCACGCUGAUAUGUAGGUGAAGUCCCUCGCGGAUGGAGCUGAAAUCAGUCGAAGAUACCAGCUGGCUGCAACUGUUUAUUAAAAACACAGCACUGUGCAAACACGAAAGUGGACGUAUACGGUGUGACGCCUGCCCGGUGCCGGAAGGUUAAUUGAUGGGGUCAGCGCAAGCGAAGCUCUUGAUCGAAGCCCCGGUAAACGGCGGCCGUAACUAUAACGGUCCUAAGGUAGCGAAAUUCCUUGUCGGGUAAGUUCCGACCUGCACGAAUGGCGUAAUGAUGGCCAGGCUGUCUCCACCCGAGACUCAGUGAAAUUGAACUCGCUGUGAAGAUGCAGUGUACCCGCGGCAAGACGGAAAGACCCCGUGAACCUUUACUAUAGCUUGACACUGAACAUUGAGCCUUGAUGUGUAGGAUAGGUGGGAGGCUUUGAAGUGUGGACGCCAGUCUGCAUGGAGCCGACCUUGAAAUACCACCCUUUAAUGUUUGAUGUUCUAACGUGGACCCGUGAUCCGGGUUGCGGACAGUGUCUGGUGGGUAGUUUGACUGGGGCGGUCUCCUCCUAAAGAGUAACGGAGGAGCACGAAGGUUGGCUAAUCCUGGUCGGACAUCAGGAGGUUAGUGCAAUGGCAUAAGCCAGCUUGACUGCGAGCGUGACGGCGCGAGCAGGUGCGAAAGCAGGUCAUAGUGAUCCGGUGGUUCUGAAUGGAAGGGCCAUCGCUCAACGGAUAAAAGGUACUCCGGGGAUAACAGGCUGAUACCGCCCAAGAGUUCAUAUCGACGGCGGUGUUUGGCACCUCGAUGUCGGCUCAUCACAUCCUGGGGCUGAAGUAGGUCCCAAGGGUAUGGCUGUUCGCCAUUUAAAGUGGUACGCGAGCUGGGUUUAGAACGUCGUGAGACAGUUCGGUCCCUAUCUGCCGUGGGCGCUGGAGAACUGAGGGGGGCUGCUCCUAGUACGAGAGGACCGGAGUGGACGCAUCACUGGUGUUCGGAUUGUCAUGCCAAUGGCACUGCCCGGUAGCUAAAUGCGGAAGAGAUAAGUGCUGAAAGCAUCUAAGCACGAAACUUGCCCCGAGAUGAGUUCUCCCUGACCCUUUAAGGGUCCUGAAGGAACGUUGAAGACGACGACGUUGAUAGGCCGGGUGUGUAAGCGCAGCGAUGCGUUGAGCUAACCGGUACUAAUGAACCGUGAGGCUUAACCUUACAACGCCGAAGGUGUUU
rnacentral:rRNA from 1 species